AGAAUCAACGCUGGCGGCGUGCCUAACACAUGCAAGUCGCACGAGAAAGGGUAGCAAUACCUGAGUAAAGUGGCGCACGGGUGAGUAACACGUGAAUGAUCUACCUCCGAGUGGGGAAUAACUGAGAGAAAUCUUAGCUAAUACCGCAUAACACUUACGAGUCAAAGCAGCAAUGCGCUUGGAGAGGAGUUCGCGGCCGAUUAGUUAGUGGCGGGUAAUGGCCCACAAGACGAUGAUCGGUA
rnacentral:rRNA from 1 species